rfam:Oryza glaberrima chromosome 8 Oglab08_unplaced138_8, whole genome shotgun sequence.
AUCUAGUGCUACCUCCGUCCCAAAAUAAGUGCAGUUUUAACCGUUCGUCUUAUUUAAAAUUUUUUUAUGAUUACUAUUUUUAUUGUUAUUAGAUGAUAAAAUAUGAAUAGUACUUUAUGUGUGACCAAUUUUUUUAAAAUUUUUCAUAAAUUUUCAAAUAAGACGGACGGUCAAACGUUGGACACGGAUUUCGACGACUGAACUUAUU